rnacentral:ribozyme from 1 species
CAUAUGUAUAUAUGUAUAUCCUUUGUCAAGUUUUUUUUUUUUUUUUUCUUCUC